GCGAAAGGGUGAGUAAUGAAUGGCUAAUGUACCCUAGAGUGGGGGAUAACUACGAGAAAUCGUGGCUAAUACCGCAUAAGACCACGGCGCCGCAUGGUGCAGAGGUCAAAGGGGGCUUCGGCUCUCGCUUUAGGAGCGGGCCAUUUGAUAUCAGCUAGUUGGUGAGGUAACGGCUCACCAAGGCUACGACGUCUAGCCGGUCUGAGAGGAUGGCUGGCCACACCGGGACUGAGAUACUGCCCGGACACCUACGGGUGGCUGCAGUCGAGAAUCUUUGUCAAUGGGCGAAAGCCUGAACGAGCGACGCCGCGUGUGGGAUGAAGGCGGAUACCGUUGUAAACCACUGUCAGGGGCUAUGAAUAAGGUGAGGCUCAUACCUUCACCGAUGACCUAAACCCCAGAGGAAGUCGCAGCUAACUACGUGCCAGCAGCUGCGGUAAUACGUAGGCGGCAAACGUUACUCGGAAUCACUGGGCUUAAAGGGCGUGUAGGCGGCUUGUCAAGUUGGAGUUGAAAACCGGCGGCUUAACCGUCGAAGUGGCCCCAAUACUGAUGAGCUUGAGUCGCGGAGGGGAUGCUGGAACUCGUAGUGGAGCGGUGGAAUGCGCAGAGAUUACGAGGAACACCGAAGGCGAAGGCAGGCAUCUGGUCGACGACUGACGCUGAGGCGCGAAAGCUAGGGGAGCAAACAGGAUUAGAU
rnacentral:rRNA from 1 species